GCCCGGUUGGCUCAGUCGGUAGAGCGUGUGACUCUUACUUUGUUUCCAGUUAUGGUUACAGAUAAGUUAUCUCAAGGUCGCGAGUUCGAGCCUCGCAUUGGGCU